rnacentral:rRNA from 1 species
GAUGAACGCUGGCUACAGGCUUAACACAUGCAAGUCGAGUGGAAACGACGGGGAAGCUUGCUUCCCCGGGCGUCGACCGGCGCACGGGUGAGUAACGCGUAUCCAACCUGCCUCUGACUGAGGGAUAACCCGUCGAAAGUCGGCCUAAUACCUCAUGGUAUCGUCUGCGGGCAUCCAACGACGAUUAAAGAUUUCAUCGGUCAGGGAUGGGGAUGCGUCUGAUUAGCUUGUUGGCGGGGUAACGGCCCACCAAGGCUACGAUCAGUAGGGGUUCUGAGAGGAAGGUCCCCCACAUUGGAACUGAGACACGGUCCAAACUCCUACGGGAGGCAGCAGUGAGGAAUAUUGGUCAAUGGGCGAGAGCCUGAACCAGCCAAGUAGCGUGCAGGAAGACGGCCCUAUGGGUUGUAAACUGCUUUUAUGCGGGGAUAAAGUGAGGGACGUGCCCCUCAUUGCAGGUACCGCAUGAAUAAGGACCGGCUAAUUCCGUG